rnacentral:rRNA from 1 species
AGUGGACGCUGGCGGCAGGCCUAACACAUGCAAGUCGAGCGGCAGCGCGGGGGCAACCCUGGCCGCGAGCGGCGGACGGGUGAGGAAUUCGUCGGAAUCUGCCUUUUCGUGGGGGAUAACGUAGGGAAACGUACGCUAAUACCGCAUACGUCAUAAGGGAGAAAGUGGGGGACCGCAAGUCCUCACGCAGUUAGAUGAGCCGACGACGGAUUAGCUAGUUGGUGGGGUAAAGGCUUACCAAGGCGACGAUCGGGAGCUGGCCUGAGAGGAUGAUCAGCCACACUGGAACUGAGACACGGUCCAGACUCCUACGGGAGGCAGCAGUAGGGAAUCUUCCGCAAUGGGCGAAAGCCUGACGGAGCAACGCCGCGUGAGUGAUGAAGGUCUUCGGAUCGUAAAACUCUGUUAUUAGGGAAGAACAAAAGUGAAAGUAAAUAUGCACGUCUUGACGGUACCUAAUCAGAAAGCCACGGCUAACUACGUG